rnacentral:rRNA from 1 species
GAUGAACGCUGGCGGCGUGCUUAACACAUGCAAGUCGAACGAGAACCAUUGGAUCGAGGAUUCGUCCAAGUGAAGGUGGGGAAAGUGGCGGACGGGUGAGUAACGCGUGAGCAAUCUGCCUUGGAGUGGGGAAUAACGGCUGGAAACAGCCGCUAAUACCGCAUGAUACAGCUGGGAGGCAUCUCCCUGGCUGUCAAAGAUUUAUCGCUCUGAGAUGAGCUCGCGUCUGAUUAGCUAGUUGGCGGGGUAACGGCCCACCAAGGCGACGAUCAGUAGCCGGACUGAGAGGUUGGCCGGCCACAUUGGGACUGAGACACGGCCCAG